rnacentral:tRNA from 2 species
GCUGACGUAGCUCAGUUGGUAGAGCACCCGAUUUGUAAUCGGGCGGUCGUGGGUUCGAUCCCCUCCGUCAGCUCCA